rnacentral:sRNA from 1 species
UCCACAGCUCCACGCGAGCGAUAGAAACGCCCAGUUGAAGAAUCCUAAUCCUAAUAUACACACAUAUUCCCCAAAAUAUGUCACAUCUUCUAACCUCAUAGAAACCUCCCUUUACCCCAACAAUCGCUCAAAUCCCCAAUCGACAAGAACGCGGAAACAAACCAACAAGCAUGGCCGCCGCAAAAUCUGCAGCCUCCAUCGCAACCACCACAGCGAAAAACCUACUCAGGGCCACCGAUCGCAAGCCAAAAAUAACCCGCACUGGCCCCGCAACUGCCUCACCGCCCAUCCAACUCCAACUGCACGACUACUGCUUCUACUAUGACACAGCGCCCCCAACCCAACAACAACUCCAAUACGGCGCGGACCUGUUCAGAGCCUCCAACCACUCGCCCAUACAGAUGUGGACGGCCAGCGAAUUCCGCACGAUCCCCAUGUCCGAUGUGCCUGAGGUGGUAUUCCUAGGUAGAUCGAACGUGGGCAAAUCAUCCCUGCUGAAUGCGAUUAUGGAGAAGGGCCUCUGUUUCACGUCGUCGAAGGUCGGGCGGACAAGGACACUGAAUGCGUACGGGAUCGGGGGCCGCAAAGACGGGGAGGCGAAGGUUGUUCUUGUUGAUACGCCCGGCUACGGUAAGGGGAGCCACGAGGAGUGGGGGGAGGUGAUUAUGAAGUAUUUGACGAAGCGGAGGCAACUUCGCCGCACCUUCGUCCUCCUCGACUCCCACCACGGCAUAAAACCCGCCGACGCGGCCAUCCUCUCCCUCCUCCGAUCCGCGGCCGUCCCGCACCAAGUAAUCCUCUCAAAGGCAGACUCGGUCCUCAUCAAAGGCGGGCUGAAAAAGGGUGCCCGUGGCCUCCGUCCUGAACGCAUAAAGGAGCUUGGCCGCUUCGCUGGCGGGAUCCGCGCAAAGGUGCAGCCCGUCAGGAAUGUGGCUGUUAGUAAUAGCCAAAAGAAGAAGAUAGAGAGGCGGCCGAAUAGGAAUAUUUAUGAUGAUGCUGUGGGUGGCGGUGAUGGUAACAAGCUGCCCGCGGAGCCUGCUGGGAUGGAGCCUGCUGGGAUGGAGCUGGGGAUUCCGGCGCUCGGGGAAAUCUUAGCCUGUUCGACU